AUGAUUAUGAAGGAGAUCGAUAUCGACGUUCGAGGAAGUAGCUGCUGAUUUUCCAAGGAGUCAUUAGUUCUUGUUGACAUUCCAUUUUCUGGAGUGGUACAUGUUCUGCUAUGAUGAUUAGCCGCUGCAGUCUUUGUGCUAUGUCCAGAAUGGCGUCAGGAUCUACGUCCACAUCUUUCUUGGACGAGUACAGUAGCGGUGCUAUUAGUUCGGUUGUUGCGGUGAUGGCGCUCGUAAGUAAUAGUCAUUUCCAAACAAACUACUUAUGCUGAGUAGAAAAUCCACUACAGUACUAAAAUAACUUUGUACAUGUAGUAUGUUGGCUGCGGUACAGAAGUAACAGUUAGUUCAUGACUGUACAGUGACACAGUGCUGAAUCACGGCGCACUGCUUCAGAUUAGCAAUGGACGGUUGCAGGUGGUCUUACCUGAGAGCCCAGUGAUUCAGAUCAGUGAACUAGUGAUGGAGAACCAAGAGCUAGGCGUGAUUGAUGGGAGUUCAGCUCUUAAGGAUUUUUCAAAAUCCACUCUGCUUGGGGCAAAUUUUGCGAAGAGAAGAACAGAAAAAGAAUUUGACCGCCGGAGCCCAUUAUGGUAUCAGCAGUCAAGCCGUUACUAGGGAAGAUUGUCGUCAACAUGUCCUCCUGAUGUAGCCGUGGUGAUGUUGCGGCGACAUUUCUUGCAAAAACCCUGCUUUUGAUCUCCUAUGCCUUUAUCUGUUUUAUUUUUAUUUGUCAACAUUUGUCGCUACUUCAUCUCUGUUUGGUGUUUGUUUCUGUGAUGAUUGACACUG